rnacentral:lncRNA from 1 species
ACAAAAGAUUCCCAUCCCUUUCCCCGAAGAGAAAUUUUAACUCCCCAGCGACUGCCGUAGUCUGCUGUGUAUUCUCAGAUAUGAUCUGCUAGGGCCACCGGGCAUCCUGCAGUCAGGAAGCCGCCAGUCUAAGCGUCAGCUUACAUCUUGGCUGGUGCUAGCCAAAGCUAAGGAAUUGUCACGGUAGAUUUGCAAGAAACCUUUCCGAUACAAUACGUGGCUUUUAUUAAGCAU